GAUUCUUCCCAAUUCUACCGCCACCAUUCUGGUUCAAGCUACCUGGUGAGUUUGCACCUGGAAUACUACAAUACCUUCCUCUCUGGUCUCCCUGCUUCUACUCUUGCCUCUCAUGUACAUGUUAUCUCAGUGCAGCAACUACAGCAAUCCUAAAUAAGGCAGAUCAUACCAUUUAUUCUCAGAAACCUUCACUGGCUCCUUACCUCAAAGUAAAAGCCCAGGUCAUUAGAAAAACCUCAGUAAGUUCAUUUCCUAUUACUCUCCUAGCUCAUCCUGUCAGCCAUACUAGUCUUCUUGCUUUUCCUUGAAUAUACUAAGCUCCUGUCUGGACCUUAACCUCCUCCACCUGGAACUCUCUUCCCGAUAUGUAUUUUCAUCCUCAUUCCCUCACCUUCUUCAGGUCUUUGCUCAAGUUUACCUAUCAGUGAGAUCUUUUCUGACAACCCUAUUAAAAAUAGCAAGCCUCCCCCCAACUCCCUGUCCCUGCACUAUUUAUUCCCUUCCCUUCUUUAUUUUCCGUCGUUACACGUAUCACCAUCAGAUAUGCAGUUUUAUUGCCUUGCUUACUAACAUUGUACAAUCCCCUCCUCUCCACCAAUAUGUGCUCCACAGAGGGGUAAGGGCUUUGUUUUGCUUACUGGUAUAUUCCAAGUGCUUAGAACAGUUGCUGGCACAUGGUGGGUACUCAAUAUUUUGUGAUUGAAUGAAUUAAUGAGUGAAUGAUGUAAUGAAAAGAUAAGCAUCUUUGUCAAUGUUAGAAACAUUUACUUCUGACGAUAAUCCAUAUAGCUUUCUCUGAUGUUACACAGCGAUUACAUCUCCUUGUGUCUAAAUUAAAGUCAAAGUAUGAAUUUUAA
rnacentral:lncRNA from 10 species